AUGUGGUGCCCCCUGCAAGUACCAAGAACCACGGCCGUAAGAGCGCCCAUGAGAGAGACGGGAGAGGGAAGGAAGGUUGCAUGGUGGGCCCCUGCACGUAUCAACAAUCGUGGUGCCCAUCGCGUGGGUGUGGGUGGUCAGGCUAAACUAUGGGUGCGAAUAGACGCCAUGGAGGCGUUUCGUGCUAAGAGUGUCACAUCCAUACAUGGCGGCAAAAGCAUCAAGUGCCGGGACUUCGAGAUGAGGUCUCUAAUUGUUGAUGUGGAGAACUGCUUGCAGGCAUUUGUCGGUGUAGCUCACAAUCUAAAUUCCAUAAUAGUUGCAAUCAGAGGAACUCAAGAGAACAGUGUGCAGAAUUGGAUCAAGGACUUGGUAUGGAAGCAGCUUGAUCUAAGCUAUCCAGACAUGCCAAAUGCAAAGGUGCACAGUGGAUUUUUCUCCUCCUAUAAUAAUACAAUUUUGCGUCUAGCUAUCACAAGUGAUGUGCACAACGCAAGAAAGACAUAUGGGGAUAUUGGUGUCAUAGUCACAGGGCACUCAAUGGGAGGAGCCAUGGCUGCCUUCUGUGCACUCGAUCUUGCUAUUUGA
rnacentral:rRNA from 1 species